CCGAAUCAUCAGCCAUAAGGAUCGAUGUGAGAAUAUCAGGAGAUAUAGUCGCAUAAAUCAUUGAAGUACAACAACAUCAAGACGGUUCCAUAGUGGGAGAUCAACGGCAUUGGUUGUUUGAUAUGUUGUUAUGGUUGCAGCAUCCGUAGGGGGAAUGAUAUGUUCAAGCACUGAAUGAACUUUAGCUUGGACCUUAAAUAGGGUUGCCCGUGAGUGAUAUUGGCC
rnacentral:lncRNA from 1 species